rnacentral:tRNA from 1 species
UAUAAAUUAGUGUAAACUUGCACUUAAAUUUUUGAAAUUUUAAGAAUAAUAUUUAUUAUAUUUAUAA